CCCAGACUCCUACGGGAGGCAGCAGUGAGGAAUAUUGGUCAAUGGCCGGAAGGCUGAACCAGCCAAGCCGCGUGAAGGACGAAGGUGCCAAGCAUUGUAAACUUCUUUUGUCAAGGGACAAAAUCAGGCUCGAGAGCCUGACCGAGGGUACUUGAAGAAAAAGCAUCGGCUAACUCCGUGCCAGCAGCCGCGGUAAUACGGAGGAUGCGAGCGUUAUCCGGAUUUAUUGGGUUUAAAGGGUGCGUAGGCGGGUUGAUAAGACAGCGGAGAAAUGUGGGGGCUCAACCCCGGCCUGCCGUUGAAACUGGCGGCCUCGAGUGGGCGAGAAGUAUGCGGAAUGCGUGGUGUAGCGGUGAAAUGCAUAGAUAUCACGCAGAACUCCGAUUGCGAAGGCAGCAUACCGGCGCCCUACUGACGCUGAGGCACGAAAGCGUGGGUAUCGAACAGGAUUAGAUACCCUCGUAC
rnacentral:rRNA from 1 species